AUGAGACGCGCAGCGGAGGAGGUGUUCAGAAAUCUCACGGUGGAGGAGGACGAGAUGCUCAUGCCCAAUGGGUUCACCACUCCCUCGGGCGCACCGGUGAGCUCCCUGGCGGCGCUGUUCUGGGCCAUGGAAGAGACGGAGUUUGGGGAUCCGGCACAGAAGAAGAAAUGGUGGGGAUUCCGCUCCCGUCAUCGAUUUCCGGCAGGGCCGGAGGAGUUUGUAGUGGGGGCAGUGAUGGCCAUUCCCACCCCGGGGACGAGCUGGGUCCCAAUCCCAAUCGAAGACAGCAAGGAGGAGGAGGAGUUGGACACCGGGGCUCAUGUGGCGGCGGCGGAUCUGGCGAGGGAUGGAGAGGGGGAAGAAAAAAUAGAAGAUCUACACCCCCCGUCACUCUCCACGCUUUCUCUGACGCUCACUGCGCCUUCUCAGCCUCUCUCGCUCUGCGGCGGCGGAGUAGGCGUCUCCCCCGUCGGCAAUCGCUUCUGGUUGCUGGCUGGGGAGGAUGCUGACAAGGGAACUGGGACUUUGUCAGAUUCUUCAGGUCAGUCUCAUGGUGAAGAUAAACCUUCCUGUUACUUGCUUAAGUGA
rnacentral:rRNA from 1 species